rnacentral:rRNA from 1 species
AUGCCGGUUCCACGGGCUCCUGCACCGACCCUUCCCGUGCCGUGCCCGCCGGCGCACCAGGCGUACUACGCGGCCCCGCAGCCGUACAGAGGAUACCCACCGCCGCAGCUGAGCGGCCCCUACGGUCUCCCUGCGGCCCCGCCGCCGCCCCCGCCGGCCCUGCCACCGGCACCUUGGGAUCCGGCGCUCCUCACCGCGCUGCACACCGCGCCUACGCCGAACAACUACACUGGAGGUGGUGAUUGGUACAUGGACACCGGGGCUACGGCUCACAUGUUUGCUCAUCCUGGUAAUCUUGCCUCCUUCACUUCCGUCACCACCGACCGCCGCAUCAUUGUCGGCGACGGGUCCACACUUCCUAUUACACAUGUCGGGCACACUUCUUUUCCUUCCACUUCCAUGCCUAUUACUUUGUCUAACAUACUUGUGUCACCUCAUCUUAUUAAGAACCUUAUUUCCGUUCGUUGUUUAACUCGUGAAAAUCCUGUUACUGUUGAAUUUGACGAGCUUGGUUUUUGUGUCAAGGACGCUCGAACCAGGAUGGUACUUCACUGCUGUGACAGCCUCGACGAGCUCUAUCCGGUGCAUCCGCCGUCCACCUCCACCACCGCACCGGUUGCUCUUUCCGCUGGCGUCGAUCUCUGGCACGCUCGUUUGGGUCAUCCCAACCCCGUCACACUUCGUCAUAUUCUUAGGAGUUUCAGUUUCAGUUGUAAUAAGAUAGAGGAUCACACUUGUCAUGCCUGUCGUGUCGGCAAACAUGUUCGCCUCCCGUUUAAUAACUCCACCACCAUAGCUUCUUUUCCUUUUCAGUUGAUUCAUAGCGAUGUGUGGACCUCUCCGGUUCCUAGUAAUUCAGGCUAUUUAUAUUAUCUGGUUAUCCUUGAUGAUUAUUCUCACUAUAUGUGGACAUUUCCUUUACGACGAAAGUCGGAUGCACUC